AGGAAAAUAGUUCAAUUGGUAGAAUAUUGGUUUCCAAAUCCAACGGUUACGGGUUCAAGUCCUGUUUUUCCUG
rnacentral:tRNA from 1 species